UCUAGCCCCUGACGCCUGACUCCCAGCCAUUCAUCGCCCUGACGCACUUCCCCGGCGCCAGGUACCGAAUGGAUGGGGAUCAGGAUUCAGGAGCCGGUCCUC
rfam:Leifsonia sp. Root227 contig_3, whole genome shotgun sequence.